UACGUAGGGUGCAAGCGUUAAUCGGAAUUACUGGGCGUAAAGCGUGCGCAGGCGGUUAUGCAAGACAGAUGUGAAAUCCCCGGGCUCAACCUGGGAACUGCAUUUGUGACUGCAUGGCUAGAGUACGGUAGAGGGGGAUGGAAUUCCUGGUGUAGCAGUGAAAUGCGUAGAUAUCAGGAGGAAUACCGAUGGCGAAGGCAGGUCUCUGGGCUGACACUGACGCUCAUGCACGAAAGCGUGGGGAGCAAACAGG
rnacentral:rRNA from 1 species